rnacentral:lncRNA from 1 species
GUACACACUAUAAGUAUACAGAUAUAAACUAUAUAUAGAGGUACAGAUAUAAACUAUAUACAGAUAUACUAUAAGUAUACAUAUAUAAACUAUAUAUAGAGGUACAGAUAUAAAGUACAGAUAUGGCAUAUACAGAUAUAAAGUACAAGUAUACAUGACCACAUUCACAAGGUACACACUAUAUAUAGAGGUUUCUUCGACCACAUAAUAGUAUUUGACAGAUAAUAACUAGGUCGACACGCUGAUUUCUAUUCACAUGAUUCUUCUUCCGCGCACGCAGAUUAUUCACCACUUGGAUAUAGGCCCUUGCCUGAAAAUUCAAAUAACGAAAUUUUUAGAAUGCUUGCACGUCACGCUUUAUCAUGCAAAACAUUAGUACGAAUUAUACAUAAACAUGCAGCCAGAAUUGUGGACUCACCUUUUUGUCCGGUGGAUUUACCACCAGUACUUGCAUCAUCGGCUUUGUACGGUGGCCUCGAUGCGUGAGAAUUGUCGCCGUUGCUCGAGACAGAGGUCGUCGUCGACAACGCUUUACCUGCUUUACGGAGCGCACGAAUGCAAAAGGCAUCAAGAAAGUAUGAGAGACCAUAACCGUCGAAUACAAAUAAAGGUGCUGUGCGGAUCUGGUAAAGGGAGAUCUAUCCAUGCAUGCACGUAUGCUCAAGAUCGAGUUGAUCUCGCAUAUAUUCGCACGAGUGACACUCACUAACCUGCACUAGGCGACGGCGCCUUUUGGCGAGCCUCCGCCAGAGCAUAUGGACGUCGAUCAUCAUACUGCCCGGAAGNNNNNNNNNNNNNNNNNNNNNNNNNNNNNNNNGGAAGAGCGCGGCAUUACUCUACAUGCAAUGCACGGAGAAUAUAUAACACGUCAGAGUUGAUCAUUACUGUACUUACUUACUCCGAUUCGUGUAUGUGCAAUGCACGAAUUGGAUGUGUGCUCACCCUUCGCCGCCAUGCUCAGUCCUGGAGGGCCUACGUCUACGUGUCUGCCUGUCUUCGGUUCAGCUUUGGAAGAGUUUGUUGCCAAACGCUUGGUUGGAUAAUUAUAUACACACCAUACAGG